rnacentral:rRNA from 1 species
AGACCCGAAACCCGGUGAUCUAGCCAUGGGCAGGUUGAAGGUUGGGUAACACUAACUGGAGGACCGAACCGACUAAUGUUGAAAAAUUAGCGGAUGACCUGUGGCUGGGGGUGAAAGGCCAAUCAAACCGGGAGAUAGCUGGUUCUCCCCGAAAGCUAUUUAGGUAGCGCCUCGUGAAUUCAUCUCCGGGGGUAGAGCACUGUUUCGGCUAGGGGGCCAUCCCGGCUUACCAACCCGAUGCAAACUGCGAAUACCGGAGAAUGUUAUCACGGGAGACACACGGCGGGUGCUAACGUCCGUCGUGAAGAGGGAAACAACCCAGACCGCCAGCUAAGGUCCCAAAGUCAUGGUUAAGUGGGAAACGAUGUGGGAAGGCCCAGACAGCCAGGAUGUUGGCUUAGAAGCAGCCAUCAUUUAAAGAAAGCGUAAUAGCUCACUGGUCGAGUCGGCCUGCGCGGAAGAUGUAACGGGGCUAAACCAUGCACCGAAGCUGCGGCAGCGAACGUAUCACCCAAGACAACUUUACGGAGUUGACGAUUGACGGAGCGAAGCGACGUCAAAGCGUUCAUUAAAGUCGAGUUGGCUUAGGGAUACGUUCGUUGGGUAGGGGAGCGUUCUGUAAGCCUGUGAAGGUGUGUCGUGAGGCAUGCUGGAGGUAUCAGAAGUGCGAAUGCUGACAUAAGUAACGAUAAAGCGGGUGAAAAGCCCGCUCGCCGGAAGACCAAGGGUUCCUGUCCAACGUUAAUCGGGGCAGGGUGAGUCGACCCCUAAGGCGAGGCCGAAAGGCGUAGUCGAUGGGAAACGGGUUAAUAUUCCCGUACUUGGUGUUACUGCGAAGGGGGGACGGAGAAGGCUAUGUUGGCCGGGCGACGGUUGUCCCGGUUUAAGCGUGUAGGUGUGUGUUCCAGGUAAAUCCGGUUCACUUUAACACUGAGGCGUGACGACGAGGCACUACGGUGCUGAAGCAACAAAUGCCCUGCUUCCAGGAAAAGCCUCUAAGCAUCAGGUAACACGAAAUCGUACCCCAAACCGACACAGGUGGUCAGGUAGAGAAUACCAAGGCGCUUGAGAGAACUCGGGUGAAGGAACUAG